CACGUAGGGACCAAGCGUUGUCCGGAUUCAUUGGGCGUAAAGAGCUCGUAGGCGGUUCGAUAAGUCGGGUGUGAAACCUCCAGGCUCAACCUGGAGACGCCACCCGAUACUGUCGUGACUAGAGUCCAGUAGGGGAGCGUGGAAUUCCUGGUGUAGCGGUGAAAUGCGCAGAUAUCAGGAGGAACACCAGCGGCGAAGGCGGCUCUCUGGGACGGUACUGACGCUGAGACGCGAAAGCGUGGGGAGCGAACAGG
rnacentral:rRNA from 1 species